UCAAAUGGAAGGAAGGAGAGAGGGAAGAGGGAUUACAGGUUACAAAAGAAGGGAAGGAAGAGGGAGAAAAAGGGUUACAAGUUAGAAAAGAGGUGUUGAAAGAGCAUACAAAUAGCAGACAAAGGUUCAGAAGUUAGAAUAGAGGUGGAAAUAGCAUUAAGUCAGGUAAGGGUGCCCAUACCUUGCGAGAUCGAUGUUACGUGUAAGACUCAAAGGGAAGGAAGGAGAGAGGAAAGAGGGGUUACAGGUUACAAAAGAAGGGAAGGAAGAGGCAGACAAAGGUUUAAAGGUUAGAAUAGAGGUGGAAAUAGCGUAAGGUCAGGUAGGGGGCCCCAUACCUUGCGAGAUCGAUGUUAUAAGUAAGAAUCAAAGGGGAGAAAGGAGAGAUGAAAGAAGGGUUACAGGUUACAAAAGAAGGCAAGGAAGAGGGAGAAAAAGGGUUACAAGUUAGAAGAAAGGCCUGGGAAUAGCAUAAGAUUAGGUAACGGGAGCCCAUACCGUACGAAAUCGAUGUUAUAAGCAAGAUUCAAAGGGACAGAAGAAGGAAGGGAAGGAGGAAGGGUUACAGGUUACAAGAGGGGCGUGGAAAUAGCAUAAGAUUACCUAUAAAGGAAACACAUACCGUACGAAAUCGAUGUUAUAAGUAAGAUUCAAAGGGACGGAAGGAGAAGGCAAGGGAGAAUGAGUUACAGGUUACAAUAGGGGCGUGGAAAUUGCAUAAGGUCAGGGCUAGAUGGAGUUACACGCGUGCAAAAGGGAAAUUGGAAAAGAGGGAAAACCGGAAAUGAAGUCGUGUGACGGCUCAGAGAUAAAGUAGAGUUAGGGUCGCGGAAAAGGGUUGGUGUUGGCGGCCUGAUGCGUGGCGGAGGGGAGGAAAUAAGGAAACUUGGGAUAAUUGUGCAGGAAGGGAUAUAUGUAUGCAGGUAACAAAAAGCAUAUAGAGUAAAAUGAAGGUAAUAACAUAGAGAAAAAAAGGGUACUGGUGGAUUAUCGAAAGGCUGAGAGGGAGAAAAUAAGGAAAGUCUUGGAUAAUUGUGCAGGAAAGGAUAUGUGUCCUGGUAACAAAAAGUGCAUAUAGAGUAAAAUGAAGGUAAUAACAUAGAGAAAAAAAGGGUACUGGUGGAUUAUCGAAAGGCUGAGAGGGAGAAAAUAAGGAAAGUCUUGGAUAAUUGAGCAAGAAGGGAUAUGUGUCCAGGUAACAAAAAGUGCAUAUAGAGUAAAAUGAAGGUAAUGAUAUUGAGCUAAAACUGAGAGCAAAAAGGGUAUUUGUGGAUCAAUGAAAGGCUGAGAGGGAGAAAAUAAGGAAGGUCUUGGAUAAUUGUACAAGAGGGGAUAUAUAUGUUCAGGUAACAAGCAGUAUGUAUAGCAAAAUGAAGGAAAUGAUAUUGAGCUAAAACUGAGAGAAAAAGAAGUUACUAGCGGAUUGAAUCAUGGCAAAGAGAGAGUAAAUAAGGAAAAAUUGCGAUAAUUGUACAGGAAGGGAUAUGUCCAGGUAACAAACAAUAUAUAUAGCAAAAUGAAACUAUAUACUAAAAGCUAAAACUGAGAGAAAAAAAAUUACUUGCAGUUUGAAUCAUGGUAAAGAGAGAGAAAAUAAGGAAAGUUUGGUAUAAUUGUCCAGGAAGGGAUGUGGUCAGGUAACAAAAAGUAUAUAUAGCAAAAUGAAGGUAAUGAUAUUUAGCUUAAACUAGUUAAUGAAAGUUACUAUAGUGAAUUAAUGAAAGGCCAACAGGGAGAAAAUUAAGUAAGUAUAGGAUAAUUAAGCGGGAAGGGAUGUCUUCAGCUAACAAAAAGUAUAUAUAGCAAAAUGAAGGUAAUGAUAUUUAGCUUAAACUAGUUAAUAAAAGUUACUAUAGUGAAUUAAUGAAAGGCCAACAGGGAGAAAAUUGCUUAAGUAUAGGAUAAUUAAGCAGGAAGGGAUGUCUUCAGCUAACAAAAAUUAUAUAAGAGGAGUGUAUCAAGGCACCUCUCCUCCCGAAAUUGACCUCUCUUUUGGCCACAUUGCUUUUGUGUUUGUUGGAGCAGCGAUUGGCGGGCUUUUUUUUACACUUUUUUUUACAGCAGAGUAAAAAAAAAAAGGAAACAAAUGGGGAAAAAAAAGCCCGGUACUCACUGCUCCUAAAAAGAGUUAGAGGAGUGGCCGAAAAGUAGGUAAAUUUCGGCUGUAAAAAAAAAGUGAAAUAUAGUUAAUAAUAUAUAACUAAGAUUAAUGAAAAAAAGGGAUAUUGAGAGGGGUAAUUCGAGCCAUGGAUGGAGGAAAUAAAGAAGGCUUAAGAUUAUUACUCAUGAAGGACCAUAUUCAGAUAGCAAAAGAAAAUUAUUAAAAGUGUAAAAUCUAGAGAUGAAUGCUUAGCUGAUUAAUUCAAGGACAAAAGCGUCUUAGCGAUAUGGAAGGGGAAGAACGAAAUGAACGUCGUGACAAUUAUUGAGAAAGGGAUUUAGUCAGAUAGCAAAAUUAAAUAACAUCUCAACAGAGGAAUACUGCGAAACGUGUAAGAAGGCAAAUUAAUGUUAGUAUGUUAUUAGCAAAUGCAUAAAUUAACGAAGUAGAGAGUUAUAUAGAUAAAAUAAAGCUUGGUUUAGAAUCUAGUAUGUUUUAUAUAAACUGCAUGAGAAACAAAAUUGGGUAGAAUGCAGAGAAAAAUUGGUAGCUUGUGUUAGAGAAAAAUCAUGAAAAUGUGAAAUGUUGAGAAAAGUGUUUAGAAUGUGUUGAGGUUAGCAUGUCUUAGGGAAUAUCCAUAAAAAGACGAAAAAUAGAUGUAAAGAAAAUUAUUUGAGUAGAUUAGCGGUUAGCAUGGUCAAAAGUCUACAGAGUGAUACAAAAAAAAUAAUUACUGAGAAAAGAAAAAAAUAGUUGUAGAGAAACUUAUUUGAAUAGAUUAGCGAUUAGCAUGGUCAAAAGAUUGCAAAGUGAUACAAAAAAAAUAAUUACUGAGAAAAGAAAAAAAUAGAUGUAGUGAAACUUAUUUGAGUAGAUUAGCGAUUAGCAUGGUCAAAAGAUUGCAAAGUGAUACAAAAAAAAAAAUUACUGAGAACAGAAAAAAUAGACGAUAGCUUUGAGGCCAGCAUGAUCUAAAGCAAAUAAACAAAAAAAAAUAAACCGAUAAUAUAUAAAAGGUAUGAAGGUGAGCAUGUCUUGAAUACCAAAGUCAGAACAAAUUACGGAGCUGUGAACAUAAAAACACAUCCCUGACACACUUUCCACCUCAAAAAAAAAGUCA